rnacentral:rRNA from 1 species
UACGUAGGGGGCAAGCGUUGUCCGGAAUCAUUGGGCGUAAAGCGCGUGUAGGCGGCCCGGUAAGUCCGCUGUGAAAGUCGGGGGCUCAACCCUCGAAUGCCGGUGGAUACUGUCGGGCUAGAGUGCGGAAGAGGUGAGUGGAAUUCCUGGUGUAGCGGUGAAAUGCGCAGAUAUCAGGAGGAACACCAAUGGCGAAGGCAGCUCACUGGGACGAUACUGACGCUGAGACGCGAAAGCGUGGGGAGCAAACAGG